UUGAAGGAAAUUUAAAAUAAUGACUGCACUCGGAGAAUUCCUAGCAGAUGCAGUUUCGGACACGGGUUCAAUUCCCGUCAUCUCCACCA
rnacentral:tmRNA from 1 species